AAUUCAACGGCCGCGGUAUUCUGACCGCGCUAAGGUAGCAUAAUCACUUGUCUCUUAAAUGGGGACUAGUAUGAAAGGACCCACGAGAGUCUAACUGUCUCCUUUUUUUGAUCCGUGAAACUAAUCUCCCCGUGAAAAAGCGGGGAUAACUAUAUAAGACGAGAAGACCCUAUGGAGCUUUAGAUUAAGCAAUACUUUCUUUUUAUACCCACUUUUUAAAGAAUACCCCCCAAGCACUUUAUUGCCAAUCUUCGGUUGGGGUGACCACGGAGCAAAACCAACCCUCCACGCCGAAUGGAACUUUCCGUAACAAAGAACUACAGUUCUACGAAUCAAAAAAUUGACAAUUGACCCAAUAUUUGAUCAACGAAACAAGUUACCCUAGGGAUAACAGCGCAAUCUACUUCAAAAGCCCCUAUUGACAAGUGGGUUUACGACCUCGAUGUUGGAUCAGGGUGUCCCAGUGGUGCAACCGCUACUAAAGGUUUGUGUG
rnacentral:rRNA from 1 species